rnacentral:rRNA from 1 species
AUUGAACGCUGGCGGCGUGCUUAACACAUGCAAGUCGAACGGAGUGGCGAACGGGUGAGUAACACGUGGGUGAACUUCCCUGCACUUCGGGAUAAGCCUGGGAAACUGGGUCUAAUACCGGAUAGUGUGGGAUGGGCCCGCGGCCGAUCAGCUUGGUGGUGGGGUAAUGGCCUACCAAGGCGGCGACGGGUAGCAGGCCUGAGAGGGUGGACGGCCAAAUUGGGACUGAGACACGGCCCAGACGCCGACGGGAGGCAGCAGUGGGGAAUAUUGCACAAGGGGGGGAAGCCUGAUGCAGCGACGCCGCGGGGGGGAUGACGGCCUUCGGGUUGUAAACUCCUGUCACCAGCGACGCGGUAGAUGGAGAAGAAGCACCGGCUAACUACGUGCCAGCCGCCGCGGUAAUAC